UACGUAGGGGGCAAGCGUUGUCCGGAAUCAUUGGGCGUAAAGAGCGUGUAGGCGGCCAGAAAAGUCCGCUGUGAAAACUCGAGGCUCAACUUCGAGCUGUCGGUGGAAACUUUCUGGCUAGAGUCCGGAAGAGGAGAACGGAAUUCCUGGUGUAGCGGUGAAAUGCGCAGAUAUCAGGAGGAACACCGGUGGCGAAGGCGGAUCUCUGGGCCUUACCUGACGCUCAGGUGCGAAAGCUAGGGGAGCGAACAGG
rnacentral:rRNA from 1 species